rnacentral:lncRNA from 1 species
ACCUUUCCUUAAUCACCUUUCAAGCUCCAUCCCCUCUAGUAUCAGUAACCUUUCCAAACUUAAUUCUCUUGAUCUUUGUCAUAAUUUACUGUCGGGGGACAUUCCUCCAAGUAUAGGUAUACUGGAGAGUCUUCAUUCAUUGUACCUAUGUGCAAAUAACCUCACCGGUCCUAUCCCUACUUCACUAGGGAACUUGAGCAACCUCAUUCAUCUUUAUCUAUGGGAAAAUCAACUUUCAGGGCCCAUUCCUACUUCUAUUGGAAAAUUAGGAAAUUUAAUUGAAUUUCGCAUUCGGCGGAAUAACUUUUGUGGUUCCAUUCCAAGAGAGAUAAUUGACUUGAGUAGUCUAAAAGUUUUAAGUCUUGGCUCAAAUCAUCUUUUAGGCUCGAUUCCACAAGAGAUGGGAAAAUUGACAUCUCUUACAGUAUUAGAUUUACGUGAUAAUGAUUUCACCGGUCCUAUCCCUACUUCACUAGGGAACUUGAGCAACCUCAUUCAUCUUUAUCUAUGGGAAAAUCAACUUUCAGGGCCCAUUCCUACUUCUCUUGGAAAAUUAGGAAAUUUAAUUGAAUUUCGCAUUCGGCGGAAUAACUUUUGUGGUUCCAUUCCAAGAGAGAUAAUUGACUUGAGUAGUCUAAA